UUUUGAUUGUUGCUCAGAAAGCCUUAUGCUUCUGGUCGGCUUUCGGGUAACAAUUAAAAAU
rnacentral:pre_miRNA from 1 species